ensembl:lncRNA PURPL p53 upregulated regulator of p53 levels
GGGAAUCAAUGUGUGAGGUGGUGCUAUGUAGCAGGAACCCCUCUUGCUUUGCAAAUAGUUUUUUGUUUGUUUUCCUUUUUGCCCAAUAGAGCCCUGCUCUACUGACCCUUCAAUGUGCCCGUGUGCCUAAAUAUUCCUGGUCGUGUGAAAAGAACCCAGGUAUUAGCUGAACUAAGGAGCACAAUUCUGCAACAUUUUGGCACCCAAACACGGGGCUUGAGAAAUGAAUGCAAUUGGAGAAACUGGUUGUUUUACCAGGCGUUGAUUGGAAAUGUGUGCUUCCCUUUAAGCAGUCAAGCUCAACUUGCAGAACUGAUGGGAACCCCUUGGGAAAACUGGCCUCAAAUGUUUGUCUACACAGUCCACAUACAGGGUUCUUAACCUGCGACUGACCCUGCUUGUGCCUGUGAACCAACCAACAAUCUCUGGCUGCAGCUCAGAAAGGACAAAAGAGAAUGGAUGAGGGAAACUUCCCAGGGCUUGUCUGGGUAUGCCCACAGUGGACUGGAGCCCAAAAUGCACACUGGAGGAAGUGGAUGGAGCCACGUGGAUGUCAUGCCUUAUGCAGGGGAGGAGCCUGCUCUCUUCAGCUCCUGUGGUAAUGUGGGAAUCGAUCUGUGAGGAAACACUUUCUGAAAAUGUCAGAACUCUUGAAAACAUGGAUGAGGAAAAGCAUAAGUACUGCUUUAUGCUUUUCUUAUGAAUUUUAAAAGAUGUAAUUUAAAGCAUAUUUAACUAUCCGGCUAUUUUGGAGAUUGAAAAAAGAAGACCUGAUUUAUCAUGUGCAAUAUCUCACACAUCUGUCAUUUCUAUUCUACCGCAAUUCGAUGGAGUCUUGUUCUGUGGUCCAGGCUAGAGGGCAGUGGCAUGAUCUCGGCUCACUACAAGCUCUGCCUCCCGGGUUCACGCCAUUCUCCUGCCUCAGCCUCCUGAGUAGCUGGGACUACAGGCGCCCGCCACCACGCCUGGCUAAUUUUUUGUAUAUUUACUAGAGAUGGCUAGUGUUAGCCAAGAUGGUCUCGAUCUCCUGACCUCGUGAUCUGCCCACCUCAGCCUGCCAAAGUGCUGGGAUUACUGGCGUGAGCCACCGUGCCUGGCCAGCAUCCUCUAAUUAUUAUUCAUAGUUUGUGAAUUUAGGCCUACGUGAAUAAUAAUAUAAUAUUUACUAUGAUGUUACUAUCUACCAACCUUAUUUUUCUUUUCUAUAAAAUAGGAGCCAAAAUAAUAUUUAUGUCAUACCUUAUGAAGUUAAAAUAAAAUAUAACGAAUGAGGGGCUUAACAA